rnacentral:lncRNA from 1 species
UCCUUCCCCUGCUACAGCAACAGUCUCGGCUCUUUUAAAUUGCUCACACCCGAAACCAGUGACCCCCACAAGCUCACCUGAUACCUUCAUCCUUUUGCCUCUACCAUUGUGUCUCACCCCCCAAAAUACUGCACAAAACACUUUACCGCUUUUACUGUUUUACUUGUGGCCAUGCUGGGGCAUCACCUUCAAGAAUUUUAGUUUAAUGAAUUGACACCAGCAAUUAUUUGUUCUAAAAGCCUGGUACUUAUUCUAUUGGUCUCUUUUGCCAAACUACUAAGUUAAGGGAACGUAAACACACCAACACUGGUUUUCAAGUCGUGGUGGAGGACAAACACAGACCUAAAGACACACUUAUACACACACCUAUAUAUAUAUAUAUAUAUAUAUAUGCAUAUAUAUAUAUAUAUAUGUGUGUGUGUUUUUAUAUAUAUAUAUAUAUAUAUGAGGACAGCUGUGUAAAAAAAUGUCAGUCUCUAUCUGUGGAGGCAACUUGUGGAAGAGGCAUACCCAGGAAAACAUAGGAUGCAGUGGUGAAGCAUGAUCUUCAAACGUGGGAUUUCGUGGAGGUGAUGACAAGUGACCAUGAGCUUUGGUGAAUACUUGCCAAGUCAAGUAAAACGUAGUUGUAGCCAGUGCUGGUGUUGACACAUAACAGCCCCAGUGCCAGGGACACAUAAAUGGAACUCAUGCUGGUGACAUGUAAAAUGCAACCACUACGCUCUUGGAGGGGUUGGCAUUAGGAAGGGCAUCCAGCCAUAAAAGCCAAAGUCAGACUGGAUCCCUGUACAGCUCUCCGGCUUCCCAGUUCAUGUCAAACCAUCUAACCCAUGCCAGCAUGGAAAAUGGACAUAUUUAUUUUGUAGAUUGGGUAGGCAUAAUUCACCCCUGCCUUUCAACCUCAGUAUUUAAACUAUGCAUAGCACUGUUGUAGUACACAUGCUGUAUACAUUCCUACAACAAUGUUUUCUUUACAUCCUAUAAAGGCAGAAGUAAAUCUUCCUUCAACUCAGUCACACGGCUGUGUUUCACUUAUUUUUUGUGUAUUUUACUGAAUAAAUGUCACCAAAUGCCUACCCUGAGUAAUUACUGACAGCACAUGCCUGAUAUAAAUAUAUAUAUUCCACAUAUUCCAGUCUUUGCUUUCAUAUAUAUUCCUGUAUGUAUAUAUAUAUAUAUAUAUGUGUGUGUGUAUGUGUGUAUAUAUACAUAUAUACAUGUGUGUGUGUGUUUAUAUAUGUAUGUAUGUGUGUGUAAGUGUAUGAAUGUAUGUAUCUGUGUUUAUGUGUCUGUAUAUGUGUUCAUAUGAGUCUGUGUAUAAGUAUAUAUAUAUAUAUAUAUAUAUAUAUAUAUAUAUAUAUAUUCUUAUCUGCAAUCACAUGUGCACUUUUUGCUUUAAUCUGAAAAUAAAAUCUAAUUUAUUGUUAAAAUAUACAUUUCCAUAAUCUCCACAGUUAUUUGAUGUUAUCAAAAAUAUUUGAGCGUAAUUUUCGUUCUUUGCCAUUGGCCGCUAUUUUACACCAGAAUAUUUUCCUAUAAUUCUUUUCAACGUUUUCAUCUUCAUCAGCUUGUUUUGAGGAGAUUAGUGCAUUAAGUCCUAAUCUCAACACCCGACACAACUGUUGUUAGGAUUUCUCACCAAGCUCACAUCAUUAACUUUUAACCAGUCUCUAUAAUAUCAUUGUUGAAGUAUGUUGUAUGGCAGCCCUGACAGGACACUAUCUUUCUUUACUACAUCAAUUAUAUUUCAAGAAACCAUUAAUAAAGGAACCAACAAAUCUUAAGGAUGGCCAAGUUUAAUUAUUAGUUGUGUCUUCCAUAAAACACCUUUUACUCGUGUGUUUCAGUUUUCAAAUCUGCAUCAAACAUUUUGAAAUGCUUGGCUUGUUUUGAAUUAUUUCCUGGUAGUUACAGAAUGGCCUGGUUUUAGUCAUUUGAAAUCUUGGAAAAUAUUUUCAGAGUAGUCUUAUGGAAAUUAGGUAAUUUAUAUUGUUAAUUCACACAGAGAAAAGUCAUAAUUUUUCUUUUUUGUUUUUUUUAAAAUUUAUUUUAAUUUCAUCUUUUUAAUUAUUUCUUUAUUUAUUUUCCAUCAAUUUUUUUUUCCUUCUGUCUUAUGAUUUUUAUGGUUUGAUUAAUUCCAAUAUUUACAUAUGAAUUGUCUCAGAGAGUGUUUGUUUUUUAAGCUGUGAAUUUGUGAAGUAGACAGAACGCCAAUUUUUGACAAAUUUGUUUGAGACAAGAAGAGUUAAUGUAUUUUGUUUAAGCAAAUAAAUUUGAGCCGAGUCUGGUACAUAUGAUGUGAGGAAAAUUCACUUGUACACUCAAAGUUUAUAUUUGAUCACUCAUCUGUUCAAUUUGAAAAACAUUUUCAGUUUUAUUGGGUUUUGAAAGUAAAAAGAGAAUACAGAUUCUAAUGAGAUGUUACAAUUCUCUGUAAACAGCAAGUUUUUUAUCAAUUUUUCCCUCAUUUAGCUCACCUAGAAAAGAGGAAGUAGUUUUACUUUCCAACAAGAAUGGUUCAUUAUUGAUGCAGGUAUUUUGAUAUUCGUUGACAGAAAACAGUAAUCAUAUUGUUGAUGCUCACAAAAUCAUUUUCUGUAUCACUUUAUUACAUCUCAACAUUAACUAGUCUUGUGUGUUUGUUUAAUGCACAAAGAAAAUAGAAUUAAAGUGGAUCAUUUAACACAAUUUGAUGUUUCAUAUUUCUGAGUUCAAAUCUUGUUGAGACUUAUGUUACAUUGGUGUUUAUAAGUUUAAAUAUCUUAGGAUUUGGUCUAACCACAACAUUCCUUUCUUACCAAUAUAUUUCCUAAUUACUAAAGUUUACAACUAUGAAGAUUCUAUCUAUGGCAGUGGUUCUCAACUGCAGCUCCUAGAGCCACACGCAGCCCUUAGUGGUCUUUUUUCAUAAAUAUUAUUUUUUUUAACUGACUUGUACUUUACAUUUUUUUUUUUUUUGGUGCAGCUUCUAAAAAACUCCAGGUUUUGGAUCUGUCCCUGAGAACCACUAAUCUAUGGGCAUGACUUGAGGAAGAUUUAGCUAUGAUCUCUAGCAGAAUGACUUUAUUGAGGCACCUAUUACUACUAUUACUUAACCUAGUUUUCCUUACUUUUUUUUCUUGCUACUUUUUAAAAAAAAUUUUUAUUUUAUGUUUUACUUAACUAUAAUUAACAAGGAUAUGCCAUCAGUUAAAAGACAAGUUAAUUAGCAAAAGCCAGUCAACUUUCAUUUUAACCAAUUGUAGUUAUUGUUAAUUAAAUAUAUUUUCAAGUAAACGAAGUGUUGAUUGAUGAUUAGGAGCAAGGUGAAUGUAGGUAGUGAUGAAAUAUUUAUAGUUUGUAGCUGUGUCCCUUAAAUCUAAUAUGGUAACUAAAUAGCUGCUGUACACAGUAAAAAUAGCAAGUUAUUUUCAGUUUAGAAAACAAAUGGUUAGUUAAAGUGAAUUUGUUUUGCAGGCAGAAGUAGCAUUUUAAUUAUUGUCAGAGCUUAUACUUCGAGGCCAUAACUAACUCUGCAUCAGUUUUGUCAAUAGCUUUCCCCAUUAACACUUCAUAAUGACGGAAAUGUUUUUAGAAUGAAGAAAGAAUUGAUAUAUAUAUCUAUAUCUAUAUAUAUAUAUCUAUAUAUAUAUAUCUAUAUAUAUAUAUAUAUAUAUAUAUAUAUAUACACGUAAUUGUUAAAUUAGAUGAUACCAACACAUCAGUACUUUUGUAGAUCAAAACUAAAUUUGAAAUAGAAACGUUUUUAAAACUCAAUCUAGACAAAAUGUUGUUUGUCACUCUCCAAGAAAAAAAAAAAUCAAUACAAUACCAUUUAUUCCAAUUUGUUCUUAUUCACUGAGUUUUCUGCGAACAACUUAUUUGUUAGCUCGGUAUUAGAUUCUUGAUCAGAAAAACAAAAAGUUUGGUUUCAUUUUUAUUUCUGAUAUAUCUUUAACUUUACUUGAGGAGAUGAAGAGAAUUCUAGAACAGAGUAAAAGUACCUGCUUGAUUGAUUAAACCCCUAAACCAAACCUUGAUACUCGUGUCGUAAAGUAUGUAUGAAAUACCAUGUUAGUAGAAUCUACUGACGAGUGUAUGUGUGACUGUGUGUAUGUGUGUUUAUAUGAGUGUAUAUACAUGCAUACAUACAUAUAUAUAUAUAUAUAUAUAUAUAUAUAUGAGUGUAUAUGCAUGUAUAUGUAUAUAUAUAUGUGUGUAUAUGCAUGUAUAUAUAUAUAUAUAUUGAUGUAUACAUAUAUGUAUGCAUGUAUAUAUGUACAUAUGCAUACACAUAUAUAUGCAUGUGUAUAUGCAAAUAUGCAUUUAUAUAUGUACAAAUGUACUUAAGUGUGUGUGUGUGUGUGUGUGUACAGAAGUAGAUAAAGUCAUUUGUCCACAAGCCAAAGCAGAAGUUUAUUAUCAGAGCCAAUAAUUUCGAAAACAGUGAAGUCAGUUCUUUAUGUUGAAGUUCAGGUGUGAUAAGCCAACUUCAUUCAAUAUGUGGUUGUCUAGAUAUAUGAGAGAGAGAGAGAGAGAGAGAGAGAGAGAGAGAGAGAGAGAGAGAGAUGGACACAUUUAUGUUUUAAUACUUUACACAGACCAUUUCUUGUUUGAUUUCCAGAUGCCAUAUAUACAUUUUGGGGUUAAUUGCUUUUAUCAUAAACAAGUUUAGGAUUUACUGUUGUGGUUGUUUAACCUCGGGUCAGUAUUGAUUGAGUAGACAUAUGAUCAAAGAUGUUCCUGCCAUGACUAUCCUGCUUUUUUCUUUCUUAAUUUAAAAAGUAUUUUUUUUAACCAGUAAGGUAGGAUUUAAGGGGGAAAUAACUGCUGUUUCUAGGAGGCUGAGGUACCCUAUAGUUGUUCAGUAUUUAAGCUAUUUAAAGUUGCUUCACUUAUGAAUAAAUACAUUAAAAAAAAUAUAUAUUUUUUUUUUUUGUAUUUACUCCCUACCAAAGCACUCUUUACCUGGAGUGAGGUUAGAAAAGGAGAGAUCUCCAUGGAAACUAAGGAGUACUAGUGCGACUGGAUAAAUGUUUAAAAAGGACAUAUAGCUGCGAGACAUCGAUAACAAAUAUGCACACACACACAUAAACACUGGCAUAUACCUCGUUCUCUACAGAGAUGUAUAUCUAGAAUCACACACACAGACACACACACACACACACCAAAUAUAAAAAAUAAAAAAGUUAACAGCAGAGAAACUAGGAGAGCAGACAUGAACAAUGUUGAUAUUAAAAUUCAUAAAAUAAAACAGAAAUAGUUUUUGUCUUGGCUUAAAUCAAUACAUUUCGUUUUCUUGAUUUUUGAUGUUGCUAGUGUUCCUGAAAGAAGGUCAUUCUGCUUGUAAAUAGCACAGAGUGAGCAGUUUUGUUUUGGCUACAGACAGGCAAAGGGUUAGAGCUUUUAGCUGAGGAGGAGAAUGGUUUUAUGAUAAUUCUCUUCCAUCUCAUUGGUUAGCAAUUGGCAGAUAAGAAAAAUUACAUCUCAUCGAAAAUUAAAUUUAGAAAUCAUUUUCUGUUAUUCUUAACUAAAACUAUGACCAGUUUUCAUCAUCAUCAUCAUAAUCAUCAUCAUUAUUAUUAUUAUUAUUAUUAUUAUUAUUAUUAUCAUUGUUAUUAUUAUUAUUAUUAUUAUUAUUAUUAUUAUUAUUAUUAUUAUUACUUUUUUUUUCUUCUUUCAAAUUUGCUUCCAUUUCUUGCCGAGUGUCUUCCCGACUCCUAGGGCAAAGAAACUCAUAGUAUACAUUGGUAGGCCAUUAAACCAAACUCAAUAGUGAUUCGACAAUGCUCUUCUCAAUACGUUAUUAUUAUUAUUAUCAUUGUUAUUAUUAUUAUUAUUAUUAUUAUUAUUAUUAAUUGUAUCUAAUGUUACUCACUGAAGCUAAAAUAACAAUGUUGCCUUUCACAGAAACUCUUACCCUAUUGUGUGUUGUGCUCCAUUGUUAUAAGCUCUCCUCGUCUCCUAUCAGCAUCAUCAAUUGCUAGCCAUCUCCUUAUCAAUCGGACCAAAUUCUAUAGAAACAAGUUAGGCAUUGCAACACAAGGAACACAUUCUGGUGAUUGAAAGAAACCAAAAUACUGUUUCUCAAGUCCAGGAGACAAGAAAUCACUCAUAUCUCACAUGAUAUCUUUUCAAUGCCGUUUUAUUAAAGAACAUUAGAAAUGUUUCACAACUCACUUUGCGUCUCUGUUUAAUUCAGUUUUUACAUUUUAAAACUGAAAUUAAUAACUCCACUAAAAAAAAAAGACCUGUUUUAUUUUGUUUGUUUUUGUCUGAUUAAUCCCAGGUAAACCUUGAUUGAGCAGCUCCACAACUAGUGGCAUCCCAACAGUGCCCUGCCCUUUAUUUUUAUAGACCGGUUAUCUAAUGCUAUCCAAUCCAGUGUGAUCUUCCCUGUUUUUAAGACUGGAACAUGGAUUUGAGAGAGACUUAGCUUCUAUUUCUAGCAAGAUGCAUGACCACUUAAUGAAGCCAGUUUUUUUUCUCAUUUGUAUCAAUUAUCCAUUUUAAACAUAAAUCUAAUGCUAGCAACACUUAUAAUUAUCCUUAAAAUUUGAGUGGUGUUUGUUAUAAACUGUUUGUAGGAUGUAACGUUUUAGAAUAGGCUAACUUCAUAUGUAAUAACAUUUUUAUGUUGGCUCCUAAAUUCAUUCUUCAGCUUUCAUUCAAAAUAUCCUUUGUUGAAUAAAGCUGUUGUUUUCAGUUGGUGCCACUUGCUCUAGUCUUGUUUCCCUCUACUAUCUUUAUCUCAAUUUGUCAAAAUUGUUCACCAUAGGAGUCUGUAGAUGAUCAUAGCUUCAGUUGUAGUUUCUGGGUGAAGUGGGUCUAGUUUGUUAACCUCAGAGGCUGGUUUUUUUCUCUGUUGUUCUUGUCAUGUAACCUGUCCAGUUCUGCUUCAACUGUUUUGCCUUUGAGAAUGUCACAGACACCCGUUUCCUUCCUCAUCCACUGAAAUCUUCUCUUGUCCUUUCGUUGUUUUUAGUUUGACAGAUGCCAAAUCUUUGAACCCCAUCUGACUAUUGCUAAUUUUGACUUGUAAACUCUUCAGAAUCAAAUCAGAAUACAGGACUUGAAGAUGAAAACAGUCUGGUCUGACUCUGCCCUUAAUCUCUUCUUUCUUGAAGGCAUUGAUGUAUUAACCUUAUGAGAUAUAGGAGGAGUUAACCUAUGGGAGAGUCUUGCUUUCAUUUUUUCUUUUUUUCUUCUAGUUUUUGUUGGUAAGUUUAUUGUCUACCAAAUGCUACUUCAGAAAGAAAAGGACCAGCCUAUAGCUUAUAGAGGUCUUUUUUGAUUAAAUGGCUUUCACAUGGUUAAGAAUGGUUUAGUAAAUUACCAUAUUUGUAAAGUAUCAAUAAGUAACAAUGUUUAUAUAUCUUGAAAAUUUCACUUUGUAUGACAAUGUAUGAGACAUGUAUGAGACAAGCUGAACCAGUAAGGCAGCCACUGCAGUGUUAUUUGCCCUGCUAGAGUUAGCAGCUAAAUCUCACAUAAAUCACAUCUAUUAUUUUUAAAAAGGGAGGAAAUAUUUAAUAUAUAAAAAAAAACUGGCUAAUCUCAGCUGGAACACCUUUGAUCACCAGUUUACUCAAUCAGAACUGACAACAACAACAACAAGAAAUGUAGAUUGGAAGGAUUUCUCAAUGUUUUCUCUCACUGUAUAUAUGAGACUUAAUCAUUGAAAGGGUAAGGUUGAAUUGGAAGCUGUGGCAUUCAUACUUUUCCCAAGAGCAUUAGUGAAAUGAAAUCUAUUUUGGACUUCUUUAACCAGACCCUUCCACCCUCUACUACUCUCCCCCAUUUUUACUAAUUACUUCUGUAAAUACAAAACGAGUGAUUCGUUGGAAAUUUUACUACAACUGUCUUAAGAUGAAGGAAAAUUAUUUUUAUGAUCUUCUCAAGAUGCAAUUAUAAAACUAAAUUUAAUUUUCCCUGUUAUAGGCAGUCAAUAUAUUUCACUAGAAUUUUCUAGAAAUGCCAGCAGUUGAGCCAAAUAUUUAGACUUAACAAUAUGUGAGAGGAGAUUAAAAUACUCCAAAGUAGGUCUAUUGUGCUUCAACAAAUAGAGACACAAAUAUUAGCCGUCAGGUUGGUGGUUUUCAACAUCUCUGAGCUGCAGAGACUAUAAAACAAUGCAACAGUAACAAUACAUUACUUACUGAAUUGUGUAUGUUUUUACUGGUUCUUCUCUAACCAUUCGUGAAUCUUGAUAACAUUUUCCUUGUUUUGUUGUUGUCCUGCUUUUUUAAAAAUUUCCAGACUACAAACUGGAGCUUAUCUCAUUUCCUAUCACAUCAAAAAGAAACGAGAAACAUUUCUUCCUUGGGUGGGAUUUUUUUCCUUUUUCACUUAGGUUUUUUUUUUCUAUCCAAAGACUCUGUGUGUGUGUGUGUCUGUCUGUCUGUCUGUCUGUCCAUACACACUCUCUCUCUCUCUCUCUCUCUCUCUCCCCUCCAACUCCUUCAUCACAUAUCCACCAAACCAACCAGAAGUCACAUGCUCAAGCUGUCAGUCUGUGACUUGUGCUCCUUGUUCAGAAGUGAUAAAUGACUAAAUAUCCUUGGAAAGGUUUGAACUCCUUCCCUUUGAUCUCCAAACUGGCAGCCAGAUGGAAUCAGUCCUCAUGUAUUAUCCAUCCACACAAACUUACUCACCUCUUUCAGUGGUGUUUGUACAAACUGUUUGGAGUCUUGUAACAUUCACAACGAGCUGUCUCCAUUUGAUGAUAACACUUUCAUGUUGGCCACCGAAAUUUAUUCUUCAGCCUUCAUUCAAACUAUUAUCCUUUGUUCUUUUUCGGACAUAGCACUUAUUUUCAGCUGGUGCCAUUUGCUCCCCAUCAUUUAUUAUUUUUUUCCCCCAUUAUCUUUAUCUCACUUUGGAACCAGGUGCUUUAGGGUUCAUUCUCAGUACAUGGACUACAUUGGCUGGUGUUGUUUUAGGUUGACCAAUUAUUCUUUCUCUCUCUCUCAUCCCCCUCUCUCUCUCCCCCCUCUCACUCCCCCUCUCUCCCCCUCUCUCUAUCUCCCUCUCUCUCUCUUGAAUGUUAGGUGGAACAUGAACCCACCUGUUUUUCUUUUUAUGUCUAACAUGUGCUCUUCUUAUCCUCUUUUACUACUUUAGCACUGAUGGCAUCAAUAAUCAAGGUUUAUAGGUUGUUUUUGUUUUGUUUAUUUUAUUGCUUAUCUAUUCCUUGUUUUGUUAUUUCUACCUGAGUAUCAGCAUCAGAUGGGGCCAUCCAUAAUUUCUGAUAUUGCUUCUUGGUUGUGGAGGCACUUAGAGCAUAAAUCUGUCGCUCAGAAUAAUCUUUCCUCAAUUCAUGUACUUCAGCUGUGUUCGUGUGUUAUCUUCUUCAUCUUUGUUUACGCUCCAUCUUAUUAUCUCAUCAUGUUCUCUCCUUCCAUUUCACCAACUCAAAAAUAUUCUGACUAUUAUUGUUGUUUUUAAAGCCAGCUUCUGCUAAAUUCUGUUUUGUCUUGCAGCUUCUUCUUCUUCUUCUUUUCUAGCCUAACUCUUUGUUUUCACUGGUCUCUUCAGUUCUUUUGUAUCUGGCCUCAGCUUAAAUAAUAUUCUUUCGCUUGUUUCACAUUUCUUUUCCAAGCAUUUUCCCUUUGUUCACAGUCAGUCUCUAGUUCUAAGGGUACCCCACCCCCACCCCACCCCAUAUAUUUCAUGUCACUUGUUUCUUUUCUUGCUUUGUUUUUUUUUUUGUCUCUUUGAUAAAUACACACACACACCUUACCUCUGUCAUCCGUUCCAAGCUGGAGCAAAGGUGUGAAAGUGCCUCCUCCUUAUAUCGCAGACUUUCUUUAUUAUCAACUUUUACUCAACAAAGUAUUAUUUUGCCACUUGAAUUUCUUUUUUUUUUUCUGUUUUUGUGUGAAGGUUUAUAAAAAUUUGCUAAAAGCAAGAAAUGACCAAAACCCAUUUCAGCUGAGUGGUGAUACACUCUAGUAGUUUUAAUAAGGGCUUCCUCAUUCCCUGAAGAAUGGAUGUGGUGUAUCUGAUUGAGAAUCUGGUU